rnacentral:rRNA from 1 species
CCUACGGGUGGCAGCAGUGGGGAAUAUUGGACAAUGGGGGCAACCCUGAUCCAGCCAUGCCGCGUGUGUGAAGAAGGCCCUCGGGUUGUAAAGCACUUUCAGUGAGGAAGAACGCCUGGUGGUUAAUACCCAUCAGGAAAGACAUCACUCACAGAAGAAGCACCGGCUAACUCCGUGCCAGCAGCCGCGGUAAUACGGAGGGUGCGAGCGUUAAUCGGAAUUACCGGGCGUAAAGCGCGCGUAGGUGGCUUGAUAAGCCGGUUGUGAAAGCCCCGGGCUCAACCUGGGAACGGCAUCCGGAACUGUCAAGCUAGAGUGCAGGAGAGGAAGGUAGAAUUCCCGGUGUAGCGGUGAAAUGCGUAGAGAUCGGGAGGAAUACCAGUGGCGAAGGCGGCCUUCUGGACUGACACUGACACUGAGGUGCGAAAGCGUGGGUAGCAAACAGGAUUAGAUACCCCUGUAGUC